CACAUAUUGUACUUAUGCAGGUCAUAGGGAAACACAGGAAUAAUGAAAAUAAAAAGAAUUCAUAUAUUACUUAUGAUGAAUAUGGAAAUAUAUUAAAGAAUUGAACAUGGUUAACCUAUCUUGGAUUGCUUGAUGUCUUGGGGAAGGAGGAGAGAAGGAGAAAAAUUUGGAACUCAAGACUUUGCAGUGGUUUUUAAAAACUAUCUUGCUUGGAUGAUCUCAGAGAGGCCUGGAGAGACUUACAUGAACUGAUGUUAAGUAAAAUGAGCAGAACCAAGAGAUCAUUGUGACAACAGAGAGAUUACACAACAAUCAAUUCUGAUGGAGGUGACUCUUCUCAACAAUGAGAUGAUUCAAAUCAGUUCCAAUGAUCUGUGAGGAAGAGAGCCUUCUCACCCAGAGAGAGGACUGUGAGAACUGAGGGUGGUUCACAACACAGUAUUUUCACUCUUUUUGUUGUUUGCUUGCAUUUUGUUUUCUUUAUCAUUUUUUUCCCUUUUUGAUCUAAUUUCUUUUGUGCAGCAUGGUAAUUGUGGAAAUAUGUAUAGAAGAAUUGCAAAUGUUUAAAAUAUAUUGAUUAUUUGCUGUCAAGGGAAGGAGUGGGGGGGAAGGGAGGGAAAAUUUUGGAAUACAAGAUUUUGCAAGGGUGAAUGUUGAAAAUUAUGUACAUGUUUUGAAAAUAAAAAGCUUUAAUUAAAAACAAAACAAAACAAAAAACUAUCCAGCUCAUCAUUUCUCAUAUUACAUAAGAUGGAAUUACUUUUU